rnacentral:rRNA from 1 species
UUCGGUCAUGACUCCAGAUUGAACUGGCAUGGCGGGAUGCUUUACACAUGCAAGUCGAACGGCAGCACGGACUGGUCUGGUGGCGAGUGGCGAACAGGUGAGUAAUGUAUCGGAACGUGCCUAGUAGCGGGGGAUAACUACAUGGCCGUAAUACCGCAUACGCCCUUCGAGGAAAGCAGGGGACCUUCGGGCCUCGCACUAUUAGAGCGGCCGAUAUCGGAUUGGCUAGUUGGUGGGGUAACGGCUCGCAAGGCGACGAUCCGUAGCUGGUUUGAGAGGACGACCAGCCACACUGGGACUGAGACACGGCCCAGACUCCGCAGGAGGCAGCAGUGGAAUUUGGACAAUGGGGAAACCUGAUCCAGCCAUCCGCGUGUGCCCGAUGAAGGCCUUCGGGUUGUAAAGCACUUUGGCGGAAAAAGCGGCACGGGAUAUACCCGAUGCAACUGAUGCACCUGCAGAAUAAGCACCUGACUAACUACGUGCCAGCAGCCGCGGUAAUACGUAGGGUGCAAGCGUUAAUCGGAAUUACUGGGCGUAAAGCGUGCGCGGUUCGGAAGAAAGAUGUGAAAUCCCGGAAGCAACUUUGGAACUGCAUUUUUAACUACCGAGCUAGAGUGUGUCAGAGGAGUGGAAUUCCCGCGUGUAGCAAUGAAAUGCGUAGAUAUGCGGAGGAACACCGAUGGCGAGCAGCCUCUGGGAUAACGACGCUCAUGCACGAAAGCGUGGGGAGCAAACAGGAUUAGAUACCUGGUAGUCACGCCUAACGAUGUAAACUAGCUGUUGAGGCCUUCAGACGGUAGCGCAAUAACGCGUGAAGUUGACCGCCUGGGAAAUGCAGUCGCAAGAUUAAAACUCAAAGGAAUUGGCAGGGGACCCGCUGAAAGCGGUGGAUGUUGUGGAUUAAUUCGAUGCAACGCGAAAAACCCUACCCUUGACAUGUCUGGAAUCCCGAAAGAGAUUUGGGAGUAUCGCGAAGGCUGAUUCUGAUGCUACAUGGCUGUCGUCAAGCUCGUGAGAUGUUGGGUUAAGUCCCGCAACAGGCGCAACCCUUGUCAUUAGUUACUACAGGCGCUCUAAUGAGACUGCAGUAACAAACCGGAGGAAGGUGGGGAUGACGUCAAGUCCUCACAUGGGCCCAUAUGGUGAGGCUUCACGUCAUACAAUGGCAUGGUCGGGACUGGGUCGCCAACCGAGGGCCAAUCGACGAUCGUAGUCCGGAUCGCAGUCUGCAACUCGACUGCGUGAAGUCAGAAUCGCUAGUAAAUGCGGAUCGGCAUGUCGCGGUGAAUACGUUCCCGGGUCUUUAUACACACCGCCCGUCACACCAGAAUUAGGUUUACCAAGUAGUUAGCUAACCGUAAGGAGGGCGAUUACCACGGUAGGAUUCAUGACUGGGGUGAAGUCGUAACAAGGUAACCCUGUUACCUAUUCUCCCAAAG